GUCCUCAAACCAUGGGAUUCUAUGUCUUACCAGUUGUCACACAGCCUAGAAGCCUGGUCAUCUCGAAACUCGGCCAUCUCAGCUCUUCCUGAAAACUGCAAAGGAACAGGAUACAAGGCAGCUCCGAUGUUUACAUCACUCCUUCCCACGACACAGAAAUAGACUUCGGCACCGACUGCUAACAAAGCGGCAGGCUGAUCUGGACACUGUCAAGUCACCCGCCAGCAGCCUCAGCGCCCGGGCAAACUGACACUGUUUAACGAAUCCAAGAGUCCAGUGUAGCAAAGCCCGGAAACCAAGCAAAGGUUCGUUUUCAAUAACCUAAGACCAAGUUGACUUCAAACUCUUAGAGAUCCGCCUGCCUCUGCCUCCCAAGUGCUGGAACUAAAGACCUGUGCCACCAAGCAUGCUUAGAAACAUACUUUCACCACGAAAUCGACAAAGAUCUAAAAGUUUGAGAAAGGACUGAAUGGACAAGAGAAAGUCCCUUUUUACCUGCGGAUGAUUUAUUUUCAUUAUUUUGGGAGCUGAAGAGAUGGCUCAGCAGUGAACACUGGCUGCCCAUGCAGAGGACCCAAGUUCAAUUCCCAGCGCAUAGUGGCUCACAACUGGCUGUAACUCCAGCGUAUCUGACGCCCUCUUCUGACCGGUUUAUUCUGUGAAGAGUGAAAGGUUAGGAGGUGGUACCAGGACGUCAAGACCAACUUGAAGAGUCUUUUGGGCAAGACACCCAGAGCCAACACAUCCAAGUCCUGCAUCGAUGUCGCUUCCUGUACGCCCCCCCCCGCCCCAGCUGUGGUGCACAGUGUGGUGCAUCCGUGGCUCUUCCUGCCCAUUAGGAAGAGGACCUCUUCCAAGAGCAACUCCUUUAACCUAUCUGGAAAAGUUGAAGGCACCAUUUAAUUAGCACCUGCUGUAUACCGUAACAG
ensembl:antisense Gm42917 predicted gene 42917